UACGUAGGGUGCGAGCGUUAAUCGGAAUUACUGGGCGUAAAGUGUGCGCAGGCGGCGUUGCAAGUCGAGUGUGAAAUCCCCGAGCUUAACUUGGGAAUUGCGCUCGAAACUACGAUGCUCGAGUGUGGCAGAGGAAGGUGGAAUUCCACGUGUAGCGGUGAAAUGCGUAGAGAAUGUGGAGGAACACCGAUGGCGAAGGCAGCCUUCU
rnacentral:rRNA from 1 species